rnacentral:lncRNA from 1 species
AGGCAGCGCGAUGAGGAAUCAGCACCCUUCUCUAUCCAAACCCGAUGACGACCCGGACCCGAUUCGGCCACCCACGGCCAAUUUAACCCUCUCCGCCGGCGUCGGCCUCCGAAAGAAAGCAGCCGGGGUGCGCCCGUGGCUCCUUCUCGACUCAACCGGCCAGGCCCAGGUGGUGGAGGCCGGCAAGCACGCCAUCAUGCGGCGAACGGGUCUCCCGGCCCGAGACCUUCGGAUCCUGGAUCCGCUUCUCUCGUACCCGUCAACCGUAUUGGGUCGAGAACGGGCCAUAGUCAUCAACUUGGAGCACAUCAAAGCCAUUAUCACCGCCCAGGAAGUGUUGUUGAUGAAUUCAAGAGACCCUUCUGUUGUUCCCUUUGUUGAGGAAUUGCAAAGUAGGAUUUUGUGUCACUAUCAAGCCACUAAAGCUCAGGUUUUUUUUUUUCCUUUUUUUUUUUCAAGUACCCAGUUCAUUUUUGUUACUGAGGAUAAAUGGUCGUGUUGGAUUAUUUGUGAUGAUAAUAAUUAGUAAUUGAGGUCGUAAAUUUGGAAUUUAUUAUAUGAGGAGGCAUUAGAAUUGUUUGUUGGAGGUGAUAUUAAUUUCUUAUAUAGAAGUUGAUACAGCUUUGCCCGAGAUUAAUGACAAAUCAGCACUUGAAACAGGUUAAGAAACCCAACUGGUCGAGGAGCCUAUAAAAGGUUCAGCUCGUAUGCGCAGGGCACCAACAUACCUCAAGGAUUACAUUACCUAAGGAAUAUUCAAGAAGGAACAAAAAAAGUGAGAAAGAUGACAGUUGUGAUUUUAGUUAUUUUGUUGUGACUAUUUAUUUUGCCUAUCAUUACAUAGUUGUUUAGUUACGCUUGUAUUGUUGUGGGGUAAAAGAUAUUUAUAGAGGGCAACACGUCAAAGGUGGAUAUAAGAAAAUGGCAAAUAUUUCUUCUUCUCUCUCUCCGUCUCUCCUGCUAUCUCUGUUUCUCCAUUAAUUUCAAUUCUUUUUGCUGGAGUCAACACUUACUCUAAAAGUGUAAAUCUAUGAUAUAAACUCUGAGUUGCAGAGUUGUAUCAAUUGGUGCUUUCAUUGCCUUCUUCUUCUCACAGAAAAAAAAAAGAACAAAAGCCACCAUAACUGAGCAAACAAAGAGGAUUAAUUCUGAGGUUCUUUCCGCCAUAAAGGAGCUCUUUGAGAAGCAAACGCUAUCUGUUCAUCAGACCUUACAACAGUACAUGUCCACUGUAGAUUCUCGUUUUGAGGAAUUCCAAGCUCAAAUUCGUGGUUCUGUUGGCGUUUUGAGUGGCCAUUCACAACUAUCAGAGCCUAUGUCAGCGUUUACAGAGGGUUCUGCUGGGGGCACAGACUUUUCACCGCUUUUACGUUCCAUGAAAAUGGACAUUCCUAAGUUUGACGGCUCUGAUCCGACCGGGUGGGAAUUUCGCAUCAACGAGUUUUUUUACCUCCAUGGGACCCCAGAUAAUUUGCGUCUUCGCAUUACAUCGUUUCACAUGGAGCCGCGGCUUGGUAUCAAUGGAUGAAAGCUAACAAUCUAUUAACCACAUGGUGAAGUUUUUUGGUCAGUCUUAAGAGUCGCUUUAGAGCUUCCAUGUAUGAAGACCAUCAAGGGAACCUUUCAAAAUUAACGCAGACCUCCACAGUUGUUGAUUUUCAGUCGGCUUUUGAAGACCUAAUGAACAAAGUUACUGGUAUAUCUGAGCCUUUGUUAAUUAGUUUCUUUAUCACGAGUUUAAAGUCCGAUAUCCGUUGUGAGUUGUUGUUUACUCGACCGACUUCUCUCAUGGAAGCCUUUGCUCUUGCUAGAGCUUGUGAGGCUAGAUCUGAUGAAGUUAAAACAACCAGUCGUUCUUGGUCAAAAUGGCCUCUUACUACACCUCCAGCUUCACCAAAUGUCCCCCAUGUUUUGCCAAACACUUCCACUUUUAAAAAUACCAAUAUUGUAGCUGCCCAUGUUAUUACUAUAACAAAACCACCAUCUCAACCUCCAUUAUUACCAACCCCCAAUUUACCAAUCCAUCGCUUUACUCCAGCUGAGUUACGGGAUAAAAGAGAAAAAGGGUUAUGUUAUAAUUGUGAUAAAAAAAAUAUACUGCAAACCAUCGCUGCCGCAAUAAAUUCUUGUUGUUGAUGGGUACUGAUGAUGAAGAGUGUGACCCGGGGGAGGAGGGGAAUGUCAUUGAGCAAACUGAGGAAGUGGUUACCGCAGGCAUUUCAAGUUUGAAUGCCUUGGCUGGUCAGUCCAAUCCGCGGUCUUUGUGUGUCUUGGGUGAAAUUAAAGGACAUCAAUUCCAUGUUCUUAUAGACAGCGGCAAUACUCACAACUUCAUCAAACUGCAGCUAGCUGAACGGCUUGGUCUGUCGAUUCAAUCCACCUCAACUUUUCGAGUUUAUAUCGGCAACGGGGAUUUUCUAGUUUGUCAUUUUCACUGCCCGAAAGUGUCAAUUGUUAUUUAAGGCCAUGAGUUUCGCUUGGAUUUCUUUGUUUUACCAAUUGAAGGACCGGAGGUAGUUUUAGGCAUCCAGUGGCUUCAACGCCUUGGGCGUGUCUCCACAGAUUAUUCAGAGAUGACUAUGGAAUUUUUUUGGGAGGGUAAGCAAGUCCUUUUACGAGGUGACCCUAUUCAACUCCCUAAUUUGAUCUCUUUUAAUCAAUUUCAAGCAUUGUUACACAGCGAAGAAGUUGACACUUUAUUCGAGCUUCAUUCCCUCUCCAGUAACACAUCUGAGUUCCAUAUUCCCAACUCCACAUCCUCAACCUUUGAAACCGAAUUACCCACUUCCUUGCCAGAAUCUAUUUAUCUUCUCCUCCAUAAAUAUAAGGCAGUCUUUGCUCCGCCAACUGGCCUCCCUCCCCAGCGAAAUAUAGACCACAAAAUUUACCUCACUCCCAAUUGCAAACCUGUCAAUGUCAGGCCCUACCGUUAUCCUCAAUUUCAAAAAAAUGAGAUGGAGAAAUUAGUUCAUGAAAUGCUUGAGCAAGGAAUUAUCAAACCAAGUCAUAGCCCUUUCUCCUCACCAGUGUUGUUAGUAAGGAAGAAAGACGACACAUAUCGCUUCUGUGUUGACUACCGUGCUUUGAAUACCGUAACAGUGAAUGACAAAUUCUCAAUCCCUACCAUCGAUGAAUUAUUUGAUGAACUUGAUAGUGCAAGGGUAUUUAGCAAACUGGAUUUGAGAGCAGGAUAUCAUCAGAUCAGAGUCCAUAAACGUGACACUUACAAGACAGCGUUUCGCACGCACGAAGGGCACUAUGAAUUUCUUGUCAUGCCUUUCGGAUUGACCAACGCUCCAUCCACCUUCCAAACGACAAUGAACAAAUUAUUUGUUUUUUUUUUGCGCAAAUUUGUUAUAGUCUUUUUUUAUGAUAUUUUGGUAUAUAGUUCUUCUUUGGCUGAUCAUGUGUGUCACUUGGAGCAGGUUUUGCUGCGUUUACAAUUACAUCAAUUUUCUGUCAAACUCUCUAAAUGUUUGUUUUGUCAAGAGACCAUUGCUUACUUGGGACAUAUAGUCUCUACUCAUGGUGUUCAUGCCGACCCUCAAAAGAUUACCGUUAUGGUAGAUUGGCCCUUGCCCAAAAUAGUGAAGCAACUGAGGGGAUUUUUGGGGCUUACUGGGUAUUAUCGGCAGUUUAUACAAGGUUAUGCAACUAUUACAGCUCCACUUACAUAAUUGUUAUGCAAGGAUGCCUUCCGUUGGAAUACAGCAGCCACUGAAGCCUUUAAUAAAUUGAAAGAUGCCAUGGUAAAAGCUCCUGUAUUGCUUCUACCUAACUUUGAAUUGGAAUUUAUCAUUGAAACGGAUGCAUCAAAUGUGGGAAUUGGGGCCGUGUUAAUGCAAGCGGGUCACCCCAUAGCUUAUUUCAGUAAAAAAUUAGGACCUCGGUUGCGGGCAUCGUCGACAUACAUAAAAAAAACUACAUGCCAUUGUGUCUGCCGUGCUAAAAUGGCGACAGUAUCUCCUCGGCAGAUUUUUCAUCAUUCGUACAGAUCACAAAAACAUUAAAGAAUUAUUUCAACAAGUAAUCCAAACUCCUGAUUAGCAGGCUUACGUCCAAAAGUUAUCAGGAUUCCAUUUCAGAAUUGACUAUAAGGCUGGAAGCUCGAAUCAAGCUGCGGAUGCACUGUCAUGUAUACAUGAAGAUACACCUCCUAAAUCACAAAUGGUUUCAGCACUCUGUUUAACAAUGGUUAGUCAACCUUCUACUGAUUUAUUACAAAUCUUGCUAAAGGAAAAUGCAACAUUAGAUGACAUGUUACUUCUCUACAAGAAGUUGGUGACAGGAACACUUUCCCCUGAUUUUUCUGUUCACAAUGGGUUCUUAUUAUUCCGCCACCGCUACUAUCUCAGUCCACACUCAUCGUUGAAACCAAUAUUGCUCAAAGAAUUCCAUGAUACUCCAAUGGCGGGUCACGCAGGCAUCAAAAGAACUUUGAUUCGACUGUCUUCUAAUUUUGAUUAGCCCAAAAUGCAAGCUGAUGUGGAAAAGUAUAUUGCUGCUUGUCUCACCUGUCAACAAAUCAAAUAUUCCACCCAAGCCCCUACAAGAUUACUUCAGCCUCUUCCCAUCCCUUCACUUGUUUGUGAUGAAUUGACUAUGGAUUUUAUUACGGGGCUACCCAAUUCUAAAGGAUUUGAAGUUAUUUUGGUUGUGGUUGAUCGUUUGACGAAAUCAGCACAUUUCGGAGCAUUGCCAUCGUAGUUCACUGCCCACAAGACAAUCAUGUUAUUCACUGAAUUGGUAGUCAAAUUACAUGAUUUUCCUAGUUCAAUCAUUUCAGACCGAGAUCCAGUAUUCAUGAGCCAUUUUUGGCAAAAAUUAUUUGAAUUGAGUGGCACCACAUUACGCCACAGCACCGCUUAUCAUCCACAGACCGACGGCCAAUCCGAGGUGAUAAACCGUGGCCUAGAGCAAUAUGUCUGAGCCUUCACUUAAGACAAACCUCAUUCUUGGUCAACUAUUUUGUGAUGGGUCGAAUUUUGUUACAACACCAGUUAUCAUAGUAGCUUGCGAAUGACACCUUUCCAAGCUCUUUAUGGACGUUUACCUCCUACAAUUCCUGGCUAUUCCAAGGGCUCUACUUCAAUCCAAGCAUUAGAAGACCUGCUGGUCGAGAGAGAUGAAUUGAUGCGCUGUCUGAAAGCAAACUUAUGUCAAGCUCAGCACUGAAUGGCACAAAAAGCUAACAAGCAUCGCAGGGAAUUGCAACUGCAGGUGGGGGACAAAGUGUUGGUAUGCUUACAACCUUACAUACAAUCAUCUGUUGCCAACCGCGCUUUGCACAAGCUGGCAAAGAGCUACUAUGGGCCAUUUCGGGUAUUGGAGAGAAUUGGUUCUGUUGCUUAUAAAUUAGAAUUGUCCGUUGGCAGCAAAAUUCACCAUGUUUUCCAUAUAUCCUUACUGAAGCCUUAUGUUGGGGAUUCUCAUGUUGACAUUCAUUCCCUGGCCCCUGCAAGUGUGAACAACAAGCCCCUUUUUUCUCCUCUAGCUAUUUGUGCUGAACGCUCGGUGCUUAAACAAGGGCAGGAGCUUCGUUAAGUUUUGGUGCAAUGGUCUGAUUGUGUCCCCUGAAAAUUCUACUUAGGAGGAUUAUGAUGAUUUUGGCAAGACAUAUCCCGAGCUUCACCCCCCUGAGGACAAGGUAAAUUCUCAAGGGAUGAGGAAUGAUACAACUUUGCCCGAGAUUAAUGACAAAUCAGCACUUGAAACAGAUGAAGAAACCCAGUUGGUCGAGGAGCCCAUAAAAGGUCCAGCUCGUAUGCGCAGGGCACCAACAUACCUCAAGGAUUACAUUACCUAAGGAAUAUUCGAGAAGGAACAAAAAGAGUGAGAAAGAUGACAACUGUAAUUUUGGUUAUUUUGUUGUGACUAUUUGUUUUGCCAAUCAUUACAUAGUUGGUUAGUUACGCUUGUAUUGUUAUGGGGUAAAAGAUAUUUGUAGAGGGCAACACGUCAAAGGUGGAUAUAAGAAAAUGGCAAAUAUUUCUUCUUCUCUCUCUCCAUCUCUCUUGCUAUCUCUGUUUCUCCAUUAAUUUCAAUUCUUUUUGCUUCUUUUUGCAGGAGUCAGCACUUACUCGAAAAGUGUAAUCUAUGAUAUAAACUCUGAGUUGCAGAGUUGUGUCAGAAGUUUAAUUAGAGUUAAGUAUUCUAUAGCCAAUUUUGGAUUCUAUAUUGUGACGUGGUUGAUUAUUUUAAUAAGGAAGUUGAUUAGAAAAGAAAUUGUUAGACUUUUAGUUGAACUUCAUAAUGGGGAAAUUAACAAAAUGGGCAUGGUAGUUGACAUUCUGUAAUGGGAAUAAACGUAAUUCUAUUGAGCCAAAUGAUGAUGCUCGUUGAUGUCUACUCUGUUUAAUGGGAAUACAGUAGUGUGAGGUCAGCCUUUUUUAUCUUUAACCUUUUUGGUCUUUUCAUGAGCAGUUGGCCAUUCUUUAAUCAUGCAGAUAAUCAAAGUUGGUAGUUUUAAUGCAGGCCUCCAACUUAAACUUUCUCUCAAAUCAAUUUAUGUAUAAUAUUUUCUUUUUUAACUUUUAUUCGUCUGCUUCCUCUUCUUAUAUGUGUUUUGUGUAGGAGAUCAAUGGUGAGGAUUCAAAUUGGACAAAUUUGUACGAUUUGGAAGCACCACAGUCAAGGACUUCCAGUCCCCGAAAUUUUUCUGGUGGCUUUCCACAGUUUGAAGAUGAAAACGAGGAAAGAAAGGAAGAUGGGAAACAAAGUCUUGAGAAUCGAGAUGGAUCAAAUGUUCUUCCUUUUGAGUUUGUUGCUCUGGAAGCAUGUCUUGAAGCUGCUUGCAGUUGCUUGGAAAAUGAAGUAUUUACUCUUACUUUCUACUUUGAAUCUUUGUCUUUCCCUUUCUUUCCUCAUGUUGCUUUCUUUUCUCGUCUUCUAUCACGGUUUUCACGUGUUUUCUGCUUCUAAAUCAGGCCAAAACAUUAGAGCAAGAAGCUCAUCCAGCCUUAGAUAAGCUUCAAAGAUUAGUACUCUCAAUUUAGAACGUGUCCGCCAAAUUAAGAGUCGCUUGGUUGCUAUAACUGGACGUGUUCAGAAGGUUGAGUAAUUCAGAUUUUUGAAGUAUAAAUGCUAGUAUUGUUUCCUCGUGGAGAGUUUGAUUAACCAAAGUACUCAUGUUCAUCUGCAGGUGCGGGAUGAAUUAGAACACUUAUUAGAUGAUGAUGAAGAUAUGGCUGAGAUGUAUCUGACUGAGAAGUUGAUGCAACAACUUGAGAACUCUUCAACUUCCUCUAUAAAUGAGAGAGAUGAUAUGGAUGAUGAAGUUCUUCAAUCAAAUAUGAAUAACAGGCACCUAAAAUUUUGCUUUCUCUUCGUUAACUGUCUUUUCAUUUUUUUCCCUUCCAUGCAUCUAAAUUUAUUGUCCUGUUUCAGGACUACUGCUGAAAUCUCAUUAGAAGCAACUGGGGGAUCAACUAGCUAUGAAGCAGAUUUUCAUAACACAUAGAACAUCCACGACAAUCUUUUUACUCAAAAUUUACAUAGCCGGGCCAGCCAUGGGACACGCACUAGUACCACUCACAGUGCUAUAAGCAAGCACCUCGAUUUUGAAGAGCUAGAAAUGCUCCUGGAGGCGUACUUUGUGCAAAUUGAUGGUACACUGAACAAGCUAUCUAUGGUAAGGAACUCAAUUUUACCACUCAAUUUCGGCCUGCUCCCAUUGCUAGAGCAGUUAAUAUGGUAAUUGAUUAAUUCAACAGUGUAAUAAGGUAAAACAAUGAUUAAUGAUUUUGUCUUCUGACCAAAGCAGUUUCUUGCCAAAGUCAUCGGCUACCGCAGUUUCAUCUGAUAUUGCUAUUAUAUGAGGCUUCAUGGUGACAAAAUGCCGCAUCUUUUUCGAUGAUAUAUUCUAACCAAGGUCUAAAUUUCCCAAACCAAUUACUACCAAACCACCUUUUUUGGUUUAUAAAAUCUGAAAGUUUGAAGUUGUGAUUUUUAGGUUGAACAGGACCUCUAUGUAAGUAUGCCCUUCAGACUUGAUCUUAAAUAUUAGAAUUAUAACAAGAGAUUGGAAUUCGUAAACCAGUAGGAAGAUCUUAUAAAUUGAAUUCUACAUCUUGAUUUGAGCUGUAUUUUGCUUUCUUUAGAGAAAGUUGUGACAAUGGCUUUCUUGAGUAAUAUUUCUCCAUAACUGUGACAAUUAAACAUAAUUAAUUGUGAGAAUUUAAAGAGAAACCGAAGACAAUUUCCAUGUCAAAAUCUUAAAAAAAUUACAAAAUUACAAAAUAUUAACUUAAUAAACCAACUAUCCGACUAAAUCCUCAACCACUAAUUUACUAACCCAUCACGGCAUGCAUUACUAAUGGCUUUGUUAUUUUAUUAUUUAUAAUCAAUAAAGUUAAAAGCAUUGCCACUUUAUCAACCCACAAAGCAUCGCCACAAUAAUUGAAAGCUAAUAAUACUAUUCUAUUCAAAAAAGCAUAUACUAAUUCAAUUAAAAAAUCCAUAAACAAUUCAAGAAUUAGAAUAUUAAAUCAUAAAGUGGUAGAUGUGUUCAAUUAUCAAAAAUAAUAUAAUCAUUUCUUAAUAUUUAAUAUAAAAGCUGCAAAGGUGCGACAGUAGUACUAAAAAAAUACAAAGAUGCAGACCAUGUGGUGGUGCAAGGCUCCGAGUGCCAGCAGCAAGCUAUAGCGUCUAUGACAUAUAAACAAAGAGGUGUGAUGGCAUGGGAGUUGGACAGAGAUAGACAACAUGCUGAUCAUUGAUGGUAGCCGAUUGAGGUUUUCUUUGGCAAUGGUGGUGGUUACGGAUUUGAUUUUGACUCUUUUUUUGGAUUUUUAAUCGUUGUUUUAAAUACUAGUCUUUUAGUUAUUUUAAAAUUUUAUCAAGCGCUGUAUUGUAAAUCCACUAAAAAAUAAGAUGAAUUUAUUUAUUUUUUUAAAUCUAGCAGGGGCUUCAGCUAGCUCUCAGGUGGCGCCACCAUUGUUUAUGAGUACAGUAAUUAAUGUCAAGAAAAUUGUUGAGAGAGUACUAUUAUAAAAGUAAGGGUAGGAAUGUACCAUAUAUUACUACAUGGGUGUUUUCAAUUAUUUUUUAAAAUAUAAAAAUUAAAUGAGUAUUUACUUAUUUAUUUUGCAAAUGUUAUUGGUAAUUAAUUUGAGUUAAGAAUUUUGUUUUAAAAAAGAUUUUGGGUAAAAGUUUUAAGCAAAUGGUUAACAAGACGACACAUAUACAUUGUAAUUAAAUUGUAUUUUGAGGGAUUAAAGUAAUUGUAAUGAAUGAACUCUUCAAAAGAUGACAACAAUACUGCACAAACAAAUUGUUUUUUAAGGACAUCAACAUAAUUGGAACGUGUGUGAUCUGGAUUUUUUUUUUUAAAUUUAACUAAUUCAAAUUCAAAUAAUGAGCAAAUUGGUCAAUUCAUCAAAUAUUAGACGGAGCCAUUAUAUUUAACUGAUAAAUUGACAGAAAUAGGGGUUUAGUGCACAUGGUCGAAAGAUGUGAGCGCCCGCUGCGCAUUGUCGAAACAACAAGGGGCUGACGCUAAAUUACCCUUGAUUGUUAUCUCAUUGAUAAUACUAUUUUUGUUAUCUCUUGGACCUAAUUCAUUGCUUUCUGUCAUCCACUUCUUUUACUUAAAAUUCGGAAUAUCGUAGGAGCAGCUCAUUAAAAUUUCCUAAAAUAGUGAGCGGCGCCAGUGAUCAAACGUGGCACUGACGUUGGCGGCUUCAGUUUUAUUAUUUGCUCAAUUUGUGUAUUUGACAAAUCAAAGCACAAAUGGCAGCACCCUAUUUGUUGUUAUCGUCUGCUUUUCUUCUUUUGCUUCUCUCUAGUAACUUCUCUGCACUCCGUUCUCAUCAAGCCGUCACGACCCUGCCUGGCUUUGAUGGUCAUCUCCCGUUCAAACUCGAAACUGGGUCGGUUUUUUUUUUCUUUUCUUAUUUUAAUUUAAUUUUUAUUAUGUAUACAUAAUUAAGCAGAUUUCAAUUUAAAGCUAACCAGCUAGAGCUUGCUAUUAAUUUAGCUUUAACUAAUAAUUAAUUUAACGCUGUGUAAAAUUACUUUUAGGUAUAUUGGGGUAGGAGAUGAUGAUGAUGUGCAGCUGUUUUACUACUUUAUUGAAUCCGAGCGGAGUCCUGAAGAUGACCCACUUGUGCUCUGGCUCACCGGAGGCCCUGGCUGUUCUGGAUUUUCUGGCCUUGUCUUUGAAAUUGGUAAAUUCAUUUUCUUUAUGCUUCAUUGAUCACAAUUGUUUCCCUUCUGUAUACACACACACACACACACGCACACAUAUGCAAUUAGACUUUCGUUAUUUAUCUUGAAUUUCCUGAAAUCUUUCUGCUGCUAUUGAUGUUUAGUUAAAGACCAAAAAAAAAAAAAAAAAAUCAAAACCCAGUUUAAUUUCGAUUAAUAGUUUGAGAUUUGAAAAUAAACAAUUGAGUUUUUCUUUCAAAAUGUUAAAAAAAAAAAUCAUUCAAUUUGACUAAGAGUCCAUUGGUAUAAUUUUUUAAAUAGAAUUUGUUUAAUUAGAGAUUUUACUAGCAAAGUUUUUAUAAGUAGAGUUUUUAUUAAAAAAAAUUAAGUGUUUGGUUGUCAAUGAAAUUUUUUAUUAAAAAUUAUAAAAUUAGUUCAAUAGUUUAAGUUUUUGUUAUGAAAAGUAUGAAACAAUGUGGUAAAAUAAUAUUUUAUAUAUUUUUUAAUUUUUACUUUAAAAAGCGUAAAAUUUAAUUUUUUUUAAUAGAGACAAGAUAUUUUAUUUAAAUUUCCAAAAAUCUGCUCAAAAAAUAAUUAAACAACAAGGGAAAAAAAAUUAAAAAGAUCGUAUAGAAUAAAAUAAGUACUUAUAUUCAUUUGAUAAAUUAAAAUUAAACCAAAUAGACAUUAAGCUUAAGAUAUCUAUCUAGUUUGUCUUCUAAUAAAUGCCAAGAGCUGAGUGGUGGUGGGCUGUUGUAGUCCCCUACUGGAGACUCGGUACUUCCUUACUCAUUACACAUUGGGUGGAGAGGGAGACAUGUCACCCCGCCAAUAUGGUUAAAGUGAAUAUUAAUAUUAAUGAGAGUAUUAGGAUAGUUCGAGUGAAUAUCUAAGAGCAUCUCCAAAAGACUCUAUAAAUUUUACUCUUUAAAUAUUCAUUUGCUUACUUAUGUGACAAAUAGAUGAGUGAAAAAAUAUAUUUUUCUUUAAAAGACUCUUCAAAUAGAAAUGAGUUAAUAUUAUUUUAAUUAAAUAACUAUUUUUUAAAGGAAAAAUCAAUAGUAAUUAAAGCACAUUUCUCUUUUUCUUCAAUAAAAAGUAAUAAAAUAUAAAUUGAAGAGGGAGAAAGUAACUCUUCAAAUUUGAAAAGAGAGGAUCAUUUCUUAUUUGAAGAAUUUUAAUUGAAGUGUCUUUUGGAGCCUUAAAUGUUGAUGUAGCUCUUCAAAUAAGUAAUAAAAUCUUAUUUGAAGAGUCUUUUGGUGAUGCUCUAAUUGUGAAUAUUAGUAUUCUUAUGAUGGUAAUAUUACAUAUUUAUGUUUAAAAAAAAGAAAAAAAAAACAAUUCUUAUAUAACCUAAGAGUCAAUAAUGGAACUUAAACCCAUUUUGAUUAAAUAUUUAAUAUAAAUUAUCAACAGACACUAACAUAUUAACAAAUUAGGAUUUUGAUGUUAUAAAAUUGACGGGGCCAAAAAAUAAAUUUAACAUAAAACGAAGGCUAAAUUUCAUUGAGACUUUUUACAUUUUUGAAAUUUUUAUGGAAUUGGAGGCUUUAGUUCUACUCUAAUACAAUUUGUAUACUAAUUAGUGGUGGAACCAAGAACUUGAUUCAACAAGGUCUAUGAUAGAGAAAACGUAAAAACUAAAGUAGGCUAUAGCAUUAUAUCACUAACAUUGAAGAUUCUAACAGCAGAUGCUAUAUUGGAAAAAAAAAAUCACAGAAUGUAGUAGUUUGCAACUCUGUCAAGCUGAGGUAUCAGUGUAAAAUUUACAUAGACAUGGUGAAAUUUUAAUUUAGACUUCUAUUUUUUCCAGUGAUUUAAGGCCCUUUUUAGUAGGCCCGGGUCCUUGAGAGUCCAGGUGCCACUAUCAGAGGGCCGGUUUAGGCUGACCCACCAUGGACUCGGUCCGGGCUGUGCUUGAACCAAAUUAAUUAGAAGGGCCAUGGGCCAGGCCUGUGCUUUUUAGAAGGCUGGGCCUUAUUUUCUAGGGGGUCAUUUUUAGGGACCUCUCCUGAGAUUUGAAGUAUUAACACUUUAAUAGAAUGUGUUGAUAUAAUUACACAUACCUCCCUCGCCGUUAGUAUAAAAAUACGUAGGUGUUAGUAUAAAAGGAUAAAUGUGUAAAAGUUUAUUUAAAAUUCAAAAUUAAAGCUUUAAGUUCUUGAUAUCUGCGAAAGCUUGCUUGGUUUACUCUAUUAUCUAGUGGUGUGUAAUGACUAACGGACAAAAGCAAAAAAAAUUCUUCACAAAAUGAAGCCUCCACUUAGCUUUCUCUUUCAUCUAAGCAACACCCAGCACCAUUUUCGUCUUCCUAAGGCUGUGAAGAAGCAGCUGCAUUUGCUCGAAACCUUUUUAAGAUUAAAAAAUAUUUUAGGUUCAAUUACGAACAAGAUAAGUUCUGAUGGUGGCCCAAGUCUUCCACGAAGCAAGUACCAGCGGCGAAUGGCUUCAUCCGCGACUGGAAUUGGAGAGAGAAAGAGGUAAUCCUCAUAAUCACAUGCAGUAGAUGAUUUUGUUGAACCUGGGUUAAUUAAACUAGGGAUGGCAAAAAUCCCCACGGGGACGGGUACCCUCGGGGAUUUUCCCCAUUCGGGGAGGGUAUGGGGAUAAUUUCAUACCCAAUUUCUUAUUCGAGGAAGGGACGAGAAAAUUUUUUAUUCAGGGAGGGGACGGAGAUGAGGUGGAAUCCCCAUCCCCUAUCCAUUUCUCCAUUUUAAUUUUUAAUUUAAUUUUUAUUUUUUAAAAUUACUAGUAAAUAAAUAAUAAAAUUUGAAUUAUAAAAUUAUAAGUAUUGGUAAAAAUAAAAAAUAUCAAAAUAUUUAUAUUAUUAAACUUUUAGACUUAAUUAACUAAUUAAAGUCCUAAAUUUUUAUUUAGGACAUUAAAAAGACCGGACAGAUUCUAUUAGCCCAAAACUUUUGUUUUAAUUUUAAUAUUCAUUAAAUAUUUUAAACUUAAAUCUAUUUUUUAUUUAUCUUAAAUCUAUUUUUUAUUUAUUUUUAGAUGUUAUAAUUGCCCACAACAAAUCAUAAUUUUAAUAUCUAAUCUAAUCUAAUAUUUGCUCUUGAUUUGCUUCGACUUAACUAUUGUGCUGUAAAGAGAAUAGUCCACAUUUAUAAAGUGCCCACGCCACCAUUGAAAAGUUAAUUUUGAAUCUAAAUUUGAUUUUAUUUGUAACAAUUUUGUAUUAGGCUAUUAAUUUGUUCAUGAUAGUUUGUAUCCCUUGCAUGCUGCGUUACUUACUAAUUUAAUGUAUGUGACUUUAUAAUGGAUAUUAAUGUAAGAUAUAUUUCGAACUUCACUUUUAUUUAAAUUUUUUGUUUUAAUAUGAUUAACUCAAAAUCGAAAACAAAAAAAAUGUAUUAGUUAUUCGAGGAUCGGGGAUCCUCGGGAAUCCCCUGUUAUUAUUCGGGGAGGGAAUGAGAAUUCUCUUAAAUAAUUUUGACGGGGAUGGGGAGGGGACGGGGACAUACGUAAAAUAUCGGGGAUGAAUACGGGGAGAUUGGUCCCCUCCCCUCCCCUCCCCAUUGCCAUUCCUAAAUUAAACCUGAAAAUGGGUUCUUUGUAUUUUGAAUUUUUUUUUGUGCAUGCUGAUUUCAACAACCGUGGGUUUUGAUUUUUUUCAUUUUGAGCUAAUCAAAGUGUAAUGAUAGAAAGUUUUAGCCUUUAUGUAAAUUUUGAUUUAAAAAUUAAGGGUUUAUCACUGUUAUGAAGUUGUUCUGCACUGAGCAAAGAAAUGAAAAGAGAAAAAAAAAAUUCCUUCUCAGUAUUUUUUUUUCUUAACUUAUCAUUGCUUUGAAUUCUUUCGCGUCAUCAUCGUCAGCUUGUAGCUAUGAAGUAGUUUAUGAGGCUGCCGAUCUUUUUAUAAGCAAUUAAUUAUGCGCUUUUGAAUUCAUCUCAAAGGUUAUUAUCUUUGACUGGCUAGAUUGCUGUUAUAAAAUUACAGUUUCACGGUUUGUAAAGAUAAUGUGGUCCACUAAAUCUCUAUUUAGUUUAUGACAACAAACUUAUUGUUAAAUUUUUUAUAAUACUUGAUUAAUCAUGGGUGACAACUAAAGCUUGCUGUGCUCGAUAUGGAUGAAUGCUUGGAGAUUUUAAGAACAAUAGAAACGAUUUGUUGUUUCAAGUUUCAACCCAUUUGAUUGUUUUUUUAAUCUAAUUCUCAGAAAACUGUCGCUAAUUAAUGGCGAUUGAUUUAGCCAAUUAGCCAAACAAUAAUAAAUUUAUAGUUUGUUAUCUCGUACAAAUUUAUUCUAGAACGGUUUAUUAUUUUUAGUCGGACAUUGUGAGUACAUAUAUGUAAAAUUCGUUAAUGAUUACUGAAGAUAUUUGGGAAAGAUGGGGAUCCUUUGACUGGCUAAAAUUUAUUGGAACCUAAAUACUCAUUGAUUCAUUGAUUCAUUGAUUCCGUACAAUAUAUUUAGAAAAAGAUUUUAAAAAACGAUAUUAUCUUAAUUAGAUUACAGAAUUUGAUAAAACAUAUGAAAUAUUCAAUAUCCAAGUAGUUAUGAAAAAUUUUGUCUCCUAAUUUUUUAUGAAAGUAAAAUUGUUGAAAGAAAAUGCUAUUUCAAGUUGUUAAUUCAUCUAUUGUACUGAUGGUUCAUUAUUAAUUGUGUCACCAUCUAAAUAAAAAUAUAAGAUAAUUGAUUAAUUUGCAGCUGGAAACUGGAGAGACUCUUAUAUGGCAUCUCCUAGUUGUAGAGAUAUAGUGGUUUUAUUUUAAACUACUUUGGCAUGUUUUCGGCAACUAUUUGAUUUUCGGCAAUUUCGUGCUGCUUCCACAAUUUUGGUUUUUUUCGAUUUUUUUUUAUUCCUGUCAUUUUUAGUACCCAUCAGUUCUCAUCCAUUUUAUUUAAUAAUUUAUUAUUUUAGUGGGAAGGGUAUUUUAGUAGUUUUAAUAGUCAACUAACGGUCAACUUAACUUGUAAUUAAUGGCGAGGGAGGUAUGUGUAAUUAUAUCAAUACAUUCUAUUAAAAUGUUAAUACUUCAAACCUCAGGGGAGGUCCCUAAAAAUUACCCAUUUUCUAGGUCCUUGGUAUUUUCUAGGUCCUAACCACAGAGGACGAGCUAAAGUCCUCCAAGCCUGGAUUGAGUUGGGCUAGGCCGCUCUCAGUCAUUUUGCCAUCUCUGCAAAAAAAGCCCUAAACUUGCACAUAAUGGUAUGUCAUUAAUUAGAACUUACAUAUUACAUUACUCAUUAAUUAAGAGGCGCAUAGAUCAUGGCCACAUAUUCGCAUGUUUAGGAGGGAAAUCAAAGUUUGUAAUAAAAUUAAUAAUGGCUCCAAAUUGUUCUGUUCACCUAACAAUCAAAUAGUCUUUUCAAAAUUAUUAGCUUCAUUUGUUUUACACAGAUUAAUAAAAUACAAUACAAUAUUAUUUGUAUUAUUUGGUUUAAUUCCUGAAAUGAUCACUUUGAAAAGUUCCGUUCCCUGAAAUUUUACUAGUGAGACUAAGAUUGUGUUUCUUUUUAAUGCUGUAGUUUCCUUACGAUUGGAUUUAUAUUUAAGUGAUCAAAAUCUCAUUAUUAUUUAUUAUUAUAUAUGACUUUAUACCAAAUAUUCUUCAUGGUCCUUAGGUCCAUUGGUGUUUGACUACGAGAAUUCCAGGGCAAGUUUACCAAGGUUUUCGUUGAACCAAUACUCGUGGACAAAGGUGCCUUGCAUGUCCAUUCUCCCACUGAUUUGGUUUUAUAUAUACAUUUGUGUGUUUGAGUAAUGAAUUAAAUUAUAAUUAGAAUUCUAUCGAUUAUCUUACUAAGUUGUGAACAUUUUUCCAGGUUGCCAACAUUAUUUUUUUAGAUGCUCCAGUAGGCACCGGAUUCUCAUACGCCAAUAGUUGGCAAGGAUACAUCAUGAAUGAUACUCUUUCAGCAACACAAAUUUAUCACUUUUUAAGAAAGGUGAAGAUAAGAGAGAAAAAAAAAAGUUACACUCCAAAUUUCAUUAUUAGAGUAAAUUUUCAUUGGCCUUGCAUAUAGGUUUUUGCUGAAUUUCCAUAUCAGCGGCCUUGUAUUUGCUCAGAAUUAUAGAUCAUUAAUUUAACAUACUGAUUGUUAUUAUUAUUAUUAUUAUUUGUUCUAAUCAGUGGCUUAUAGUUCAUUCUGACUUCCUCGCAAAUCCUCUCUAUGUUGCUGGUGAUUCUUAUUCAGGCAAAAUUGUUCCAAUUGUUGUUCAGGAAAUAUCUGACGGUAACUUGUAUACGUGAAUACUUGUUUAUGCAUUGAUUUUGGUUCAUUUUAUGUUUAUCAGAUCUUAAUUUCUCAAGUAGUCUAGUUUUUGUUGCAGGUAUUGAUGCUGGACACAAGCCAAGAAUGAAUCUGAAAGUAGGUGACCUAUCAUCGGAAAUGAAGUAUACUUUGAUUUCAUUUUUUUGAUUUACAUUUAGUUAGUAACUGUUCUUAGAUGCAUUAUCAAUUGAAGUAUUUAACGUCAACUAUUUUGAUAAUGGACCCAGGGAUAUAUGCUUGGCAACCCAGUUACGGAUUACAAAAUAGACCAAAAUUCAAAAAUACAGUUUGCUUACCUGAACGCACUUAUCACCUAUGAAAUCUACGAGGUGAAUUUUCCACCUAUGCGUUGAUUCUAAAUAGGACUAGGAUCUAUUUCUCAUGAGCAGAGCUAUCACAAACAAAAUACAAGUGGGUACGAUGGGUGCUUAUUAUAUAUGAAUAAUGUGGAUUUAUAACUCUAUUAUUAGAUAGAUAGCGAUAGUGUAAUUAUCAUGUUAAAUUGUUAAUGGUAAAAUAAUAAAGCUAAUUUGUAUUUUACAUACAAAGCAUUAAUUGAUAAAUGGCUGCACGUUAGUUGGAAUGCAAAUUUUGUAUCUCACCUUGUAACCACAUAACAUUUUUAAUUUAAAAUAUAUGGACAUGAAUGAAUGUUCCAUUUUAUAAUUUUAUUUGCAUUGUUGCAAGGUUUGUUUUUCUCUUUUUUUUUUGGGCUUGUUUUCUGAAGACAAGUGUUAAGAAUAUCCACUUAAUAACUUCUGAUUGUAUAACAAUUUCUCAUACUAGCUACUUUCAUAAGUUAAUCUAGUAUAAAUGGCAAAUCGUUCUAUAUUUUUAUUCGAUUUUUUCUUUUUUCUGGCUAGUUUUACUUGCUUUACUAAAAUAUUAUUUUAAAUUGUGCGCUGCCUUUUUUUUCUAUAUUACUUUUUACCCAGUCAGCCAAGAAGAAUUGCAAGGGUGAUUACGUAAAUGUAGACCCAGGAAAUUAUUUAUGCAAAGCCGAUCUUCAAAAUAUCUCAGCGGUACGUAAAGGAGUAACUAUCAUUUUGUUUAUUUGUUUAUUAUUUCUUAAUACUAUAAGUAGCACGCCAAAUUAUCUCACUGAUGCUUGAAUUUAUAGUGCACUGGAAAUGUAAAUGGAGGGAACAUAUAUGAACCUAAAUGUAGUUUUGUAUCCCCAAAACCAACACGAUUGAGCCCCCGAGAUGGUAGCGUCGUGGAAGAUGAAGAAGAUUAUUUAGAUUUGCUCUUUUUGCCAGCUCAGCCAGCUCCAAAACUUUGGUGUCGGGUAAAUUUCUGCACAUGCCUACAAUAUACUUUCCCCUAAUGCUAACGUGAGGCAGUUACCUACCUUAAGUUUUUUGUUGAACUGUUUAAUUAAUACAAUAUUAGAGCAAAUGGCUCACGAUCAAUUCUUUCAGCCAACAGUUUGGAAGAUAGUCGAAAUUUAUUAGGGAUAAAUAAAAAUUAAUCCUAAAAGGAAUCAAUUAAAUUUAGAAUUCCUCUUUUAUAUUUAUAUGAGUGUAUUGAAUAUUGGUGCUGUAUUUUUUUUUUUUUUUUGAAUAGAUAUUGAUGCUGUAUUUAAGCUGUCAUAAUAUUUUUCAUUUUUGUCAUAUGUAUAUUUUAAUCAUAACAGUCUGUAUCCCAACAAUAUAUGUGUGUCUUAUGAUCUUAUUAAACUUUUAAUUGCUGUGAUACUCGUCAAUUAUAAGCUAAUAUGAUCUUGCUCUUUUAAAGCAUCAAAACUAUUUAUACGCUCCAACAUGGGCAAAUGACAAAACUGUCCAAAGGGCUCUUGGAAUUCAGGAGGUAUGGCAAAAGCUUAACCAUAACGUUAGUAGCAUACAAAUUUGAAAAUUAAUUUUACCAGAUACAUGUCUUUCCCAAUGACGAGCAGGGGAUGGUAAAAGAAUGGAGGAGAUGCAAUAAAAGUUUAUCUUACACACAAAAUGUCCCGAGUAGUAUUGAUUAUCAUCGCAACCUCAUCAAGAAAGGCUACCAAGUUUUGAUUUACAGGUAAAGUAAUAUAAUUAUAUAUAUAAUUUUUAUCAAAUUUGUCCCCAACUCUUGUAGGAAUGUGUCAAUGCCCAGGUUAUAUUGAAUUUUGAGUAUUUGACAGUCCCAAUGCAAGAAUAAGAAACUUAAUACUGAAGUUGUUUAUAUCAUUUCCAAAUGAAUUAGGGAAGUUAAACUCUAUUUUUUGAUCUAGUAAUAUUAUACUUACUCGGUUGGGAUAUUUAAUUUCUAUCUCGAUUGAUAGAUCACUAAUUAUUUAUUGUCAUGUAUUACCAAUCAUCGAUUUUAUUACUAACUAUGUUUACGUAUAUAUGUUUGCUUGAGUAUGGUUUUUAAAUCUUUGCAGCUUUCUUGAUGCAACUAAUAUUUUCUUCUCUUACAACAGUGGCGAUGUGGACAUGGAAAUUCCAUAUGUAGGCACAGAAACAUGGAUUAAGUCAUUAAAUUUGACGAUUGAUAGUGGCUGGCAGCCAUGGCUUGUGGACGGCCAAGUUGCAGGGUUGGUUUUAUUUUUUUUGUUUGAUUGAGUUAAUUUCUCUUUAUUCCUUAAUUAGGGUUAGACAUUAUUUUCCAAUUGGCCCUUAAUUUUUAUUAAAUGAUACGAAACAUUUUUUUAUUAAUAAAAAAAAAACCCUGCAAAGGAACAUUUGACAUUAACAAAAGUAACAACUUAGAUGUUUUGCAGAUUUUGGAUGCGGUAUGCUGAAAAGAACCUUUACCGUUUGACAUUUGCCACAGUAAAGGCAAGACUAAUUUUCUGGCAAAUUAUGUUUAGACUGACAUUAACUAAUUAAAUACUGUGAUUUAAUUAGCAAAGCAGCUACGUGAUUAAAUUAUUUUGUAAUUGCGGGUUGUGUAGGGAGCAGGUCAUACGGCUCCAGAGUACAAGCCUAAGGAAUGCCUCGAAAUGAUUAACAGGUGGUUUGCCAUGUAUCCUCUCUGAAUCCAUGUUCAGUACUUUGAGAAAGCAAAUGUAUUGGAUUAUCUUGUAUUGUAUUAAUAUUAUGUUACGAUAAUGUUGUAUGGUGUUUAGCACUAUAUUGUACCGUAUUAAUUUUAUAUAAUAUUAAAUUAAUGUUAUUUAAAUGUAUUAUUAGAUAAUUAAUUUUAUAUUAAUUAUUAAUAUAUAAAUAUUAUAUUAUUAAAUAAAUUAAUGAAGUGGGAUUAACUAUAAUUUUAUAUUAAUUUCAUGAUUAAUGUAUUAUUUUGUAAGUUUAGCUUAAUUAUACAGAUUGCUGAUUUCAACAAUUUAAAAACUUCAACAAUCAAAACCUGACACCAUAAAAUUAAUGAACUGGGAUUAACAACAAAAGAAAUCUUAUGAUUUGACAAAAUCACAAAGACGGUUUGCCGUUGUCGUGCAUGCGUUUAUAAACAAUGAAUUCUGAAAUAAAUAAGUACUAGAAUAAGCGAUUGAUUUAUUGAAAUGUAUUUAGCAAAAUUUGAUGGUCACAAUAGGAGGUAAUUAACUGGGUACUACUGUUGGGUAGUGGCAAUUUUUGACAUGAUUUAUCAAUGCAAGGAACAUAAAAAAGGUUACCAAAAUUUGGGUCCUAAAUGUUACGUUUCAUAUUUAUAACCAUAUUAUAUUUUAUAGUGCUUUUAAAAUUGUUUGAUUAUAUUUACAUAGAACCUAUUAGUGUAAGAAGAACAAAUUUAUGAACGAUAUCCUUUAUUGCAGUUUUAUUAAACUUUGGGAAUUCUAAUGGUAUUGCCACUUCCAUAGAUUAACAUGACUUUACUACAAUCAUUAGAGAGGCAUAUACGAUGAGAAACUACUGGCCGGCCUUCUCAUGCGUGUGACAUACAACUGCUGUAAAUCGAACUGUUUUCAGAUGUAGCAAGAGAAACAUCCAGACAAAAUUUCUGUGGCCAUUAUCUCAGUUGAGGCGAUUUUAAGUCUCAUCAAACAAUUAUGUCAUAUGUGUUUGUGUAAUUAUUUCAUAAAUGUAAUAAUGAUUUUCCCAUUUAAACAUCACCACAUCACAAGCUGCUUUUACUGAUAAGAGUUUUAGAUUUUCAACCGAUCGAUAUUGCUUCAUAUAUAUUUAGAACCAGUGAUGUUGAAUGUCGAGGGAAUAUCAAUCUUCCUUAUAAUUUCACUAAUUUUGUGCUUCUCAUAAUCUUCCAAGACCAAGAUGCAUGCUGAGUUUGCUAAUCACGAUAUCAAUCUCACCAAAACCCUGAUUUAGGGUCCCAAGAAAUAGCUCUUACCUUGUUCAAAUCUGAGAAACAAACUUGAGGCAAAGUGUAAAUUGCAGCACACUCCAUUCUUUAAGUUAAUAGAAACCUCUUCAACAACAUCUGAUCUGUUUCUGUGAAGCCCCACGCAAUGCAAAUUGCAAAGUAUAUAUAUGUUGAAUCAUACUUCACAGUAAAAUUUGCUUCAAGAUUAUUUUUAAGUAAGGGAUAUCGACAUGUCCCCAGUGAUCAGCUCACAGCCUCCUGCAUGUGAGGAUUAUAUACAUCGUUAGUGUAUCAAACGAACAUAAUUAUAGAUUUGCUACUAAAAUAUGGCAUCUGGCGGGUCGCUUGAGCCGGUAUUUCUUUUAGUGACUUGUUCUUCAAUGUUAUAUUGCAGCCAAUUGCUUGACACAGAUGCAUGUUAAUGCAGUGGGGAUGUUGAAUUAAUGCAGACCACUGCUUGCAAACACACUUGAACCUUAUAACCGACUGAGGAUCCCAGUAACGUUCUCGAUCGAUACGGGGGGUUUUUUAUUUGGAAUCGAAGUCGAAUAAUUAUUUGUUUUCUUCCUUUGUGGCUCAUGACGCCGAAAUCUGCAAAUGAUUCCCAUGGUUGGCACCACCUGAUUAUGACGAUAGUAUCAAAAACAAGUAUUUAAAUUUAUAAACCACUCGGCUCAGCCCGAGUGGCCAGGGCAGGAGGGCAGCAGUUCGAACCCCCACAAAAGUAUUGUGGGGGUAUUUCUUUCCUCAAUUAAUUGAGUGAAUGUAGUCUUCUCCCUUACCCAUGAGUGAGGAGUAGACAUCCCUCGAAUAUUUGUGAGGGUUAAAAAUCUGGGCAGAGCUCUAUUAGCAUUGAUGUAAGUUGGUCCCAGUAAUAGUCUAAUUUGUAAAUAUCAGUUAUAGUCUCAUGUAAUAUGAGUUGUAAUCUAAGCAAUAGUCUCAUGUAAUAAAAAAAAGUAUUUAAAUUUAUUAGUGUGCGGACUUCAUAAUGUCAACAUACAAACAUUUCUCUAAUAAACGUUAACUAGUUAUUAAAUGUAGAAGGACGCUAAACGACAUACUUUAAGACUUAGAAAAGUAAUCAAUUAUUAAGGUCCGGUUUGACAUUGAGGUACUAUAACUUUUAAGUUGUAAUUGUUGUGGAAAAAAAACUGUAAUUAUAAAAUAUAAAUUAAUAAUAUAUAAUAAAUAUAAAUUUUAUCAAAAUUAUUAAAAAUAUAAUAAAAUUUUAUUAUAUAAGUGAAAAAUCAUACUAACAUAACUUCUAAAUUAAAGCAACUAGUAUUUAUCAAACACUUUAAUACUAUAACUUUUAAGUUACAAUUAUCCAACCUCAAUCUCAAACACACCCUAAGUUGGAGGGAACAAUAUUCGAAUUUAAAACUCGAAUAUCUGCCGCCCACCAGCCUAUUUCAUUCAAGUAGAACCUAACUUAAUUUUUCUUAUGCAUUAUUACUUAUGCAUGCUCCAAUUAAUGUUGGGCGUAGGAAAGUAGCCAUGGUAAUAAAAACAUUUGAGGAAUUUGUAAUUUUAGUUAUUUAUUUAUUUAUUAUAUGUACAUAGUGAUGGUCGCACUAAUUAGUGGAUAUUGGCAAUUUGUCACAUGGUCUAACAAUGCAACAAACAUUACAUGGGUUAGCAAGUUUGGAUCCUAAAAUAUUACCUCUUGUGUCCGGUUUCAAUUUUUAUUUUUUAUUUUUCUAGAUGAAGUCCGAUUUCAGCUUAAAACUUAUGACAGUGAAUUUAUUUAUAGUACGAUUAACUUAUUAAUUAAAUUAUACCCGUAGACUUUAUUAUUUAAUUUGAUAUAACUAUAUUAUAUCUAUCGUAUUUUAAAAAUUGUUUAGUUAAAUUUAAUUCAAACUUAUUUGUGUGAGGAGAACAAAUUUAUAAAUGAUAUCUUUACUGUAGUUUCAUUAAACUUUAGGGGCUCUAAUGCUAUUGCCACAUCCAUAAAUUACCAUGACUUCUCUACGGCCAUUAGAGAGGCAGCGCGAUGAGGAAUCACCACCCUUCUCUAUCCAAACCCGAUGACGACCCGGACCCGAUUCGGCCACCCACGGCCAAUUUAACCCUCUCCGCCGGCGUCGGCCUCCGAAAGAAAGCAGCCGGGGUGCGCCCAUGGCUCCUUCUCGACUCAACCGGCCAGGCCCAGGUGGUGGAGGCCGGCAAGCACGCCAUCAUGCGGCGGACAGGUCUCCCGGCCCGAGACCUUCGGAUCCUGGAUCCGCUUCUCUCGUAUCCCUCAACCGUACUGGGUCGAGAACGGGCCAUAGUCAUCAACUUGGAGCACAUCAAAGCCAUUAUCACCGCCCAGGAAGUGUUGUUGAUGAAUUCAAGAGACCCUUCUGUUGUUCCC